rnacentral:rRNA from 1 species
CAAUAGCGUAUAUUAAAGUUGUUGCGGUUAAAAAGCUCGUAGUUGGAUUUUGGGACUAGAACUAUGGGUCCGGUUCAUCCGCGCACUUCAUGGUUGAGUCCUUCUGUCUGGAGGUUCCGGGGGUCCAUUCACUUGGGCCCCCGGGGGCUCUAGGACUUUUACUUUGAACAAAUUAGAGCGUUCAUCGCAGGCUUCCACGCCUUGAAUACAUUAGCAUGGAAUAACCACAAGGACUUCGGCUCUAUUUUGUUGGUUUUAAGGACCGAAGUAAUGAUUAAUAGGGACAGUUGGGGGCAUUAAUAUUUAGUUGUCAGAGGUGAAAUUCUCAGAUUUACGAAAGAUUAACUUCUGCGAAAGCAUUUGCCAAGGAUGUUUNCAUUA